rnacentral:rRNA from 1 species
UACAGCAGUCAUAUCACCCUGCAGCCCAAGACUGGUUGCCCACUGAAGCUAAGCAGGGCUGAGCCUGGUCAGAACAUGGAUGGGAGACCUCCUGGGAAAAACUAGGUUGCUGCUGGAA